rnacentral:rRNA from 1 species
CGCGUAGGCGGAUGCAUCAGUCAGGGGUGAAAGCCAUGGGCUCAACCUGUGAACUGCCUUUGAUACUGUGCAUCUUGAGUCUGUGAGAGGAUAGUGGAAUACCCAGUGUAGAGGUGAAAUUCGUAGAUAUUGGGUAGAACACCAGUGGCGAAGGCGACUAUCUGGCACAGUACUGACGCUGAGGCGACAAAAGCGGUGGGAGCAAACA